GAUGAAGAACGCAGCGAAAUGCGAUACUUGGUGUGAAUUGCAGAAUCCCGCGAAUCAUCGAGUUUUUGAACGCAAGUUGCGCCCGAAGCCAUUCGGCCGAGGGCACGUCUGCCUGGGUGUCACGCAUCGUUGCCCCCCCAAACUCCGGUUCGGGCGGGGCGGAAGUUGGCCUCCCGUGCGUGCCUGCGCGCGCGGUUAGCCCAAAAGCGAGUCCUCGGCGACGAGCGCCACGACAAUCGGUGGUUUUUUUACCCUCGUUCCUCGUCGUGCGUGCCCCGUCGCCCGAACGCGCUCUUGCGACCCUCACGCGUCGCCUCGGCGGCGCUCCCAACGCGACACCAGGUCAGGCGGGACUACCCGCUGAGUUUAAGCAUAUCAAUAAGCGGAGGA
rnacentral:misc_RNA from 1 species